GGGCCAAGCCCGGGCCCCAGGACACCGUGGAGCGGCCCUUCUACGAACUCUGGGCAUCAGACAACCCCCUGGACUGGCCAUUGUUUGGCCAGGAUGAGUUUUUCCUGGAGCAGACCAAGAAGAAAGGAGUGAAGCGGCCACCACGCCUGCACACCAAGCCGUCCCAGGCACCCGCCGUGGAGGCACGGCGGAAGGCCGAGGCUGACAAGCCCCGAAGGCUGGGGCGGCUCAAGUACCAGGCACCUGACAUCGACGUGCAGCUGAGCUCGGAGCUGGCAGACUCGCUCAGGACCCUGAAGCCCGAGGGCGACAUCCUUCGAGGCCGGUUCAAGAGCUUCCAGAGGAGGAAUAUGAUCCAGCCUCGACAGAGAGCCAAGUUCAAACCCAGGUACAAGGUGAAGCUGGGGGAGAAGCGGGCGUUCCGCGAGAUCCAGUUGUAGCUCCCAUCAGAGGCCGGAGCCUCGCCUUUCAAUAAAAAGUCCCUUCUAGCUAAAAAAAAAAAAAAAAAA
rnacentral:lncRNA from 1 species